AUGCGCGUGUAUGCAGCUUGGCAUCAUGGAAAGUACCUUUCUGCUGAAACAGCAUUUUCAGUGGGAUUACAGGAAGAUAUCAUAGAGAAGGAAAAGAACCGAAGAGAAGGAGGCUCUGAAAGAAAAAUGGCUGAAACAACCAGCAGCAUGGAGGAGUGUUUGGUAUUCUGUCUGUGGGCUAAAUCACAAUGGAUGUACAGGGCUCACUCCAAUGUCCUGCUUUUCAGUUGGUCUGGCUGCUGUUGCUGGCAGUCCUUGAAGGAGUGUGUGCUAAUGGUACUGACCUUGCAUGAUUACAAGGCAGAAAGUGAUCUGUUUUAUGGCUACUUCAAGAAACAAACAAACAAAUCUCUAAAUAUGCCCAGAACCCAGCUCUGUCUGCAGAGCUGCCUCUCGCCUCCCAGAGCAAAGUGUUGUGAUAGAUGCAGAUCUUCCUGUGCCCUGGCUCUGCGUUGUUCUGUACUUGUCUGUGGCACAGAAAUCAAGCUGUAGCAGUGCGACUCCCCUAUAUGCCUGUUUAUUAGGUUGUGUACUAAUUUAUUUUUCAGACGAGUUGAGCUGUAGCUGAAGCAUAUUUUGCUAUUAAGAGUGUGUGAGAGGUGAGAGGCUGAUUGGAAGGAAGAGAGAAGACUGAAACCAUCAAACAGGGAUUGUCAUGUCUGUUUAUGUGUAGUGACUGUAUCAAAAAUCUGACACACUGAGACACUGCUCCUAUCACCCAGCUCAGCAGUGCAAAGGCCUUCUGCUAGUACUGAUCCCUUUCUUCAUGCCAUGCUCUGUAGGUUGUCAGAUCCUGGUGCUUUUUUCUUCACAUCAUCGCUAGGUCAGAAAUAAUUCUUACACACAAAUACUAUUUUUAUAGUACAGUGUGGAAAUUUGCACUGAGACUAUAGAUCUUUUUUUUUUUAAUUGACUCUGAUAUUGGCUUGGUUCUUCUGAUCAUAUGAAGUGAAUCUAUCUUUAUUCA
rnacentral:lncRNA from 1 species